UGCAUGGCUGUCGUCAGCUCGUGUUGUGAAAUGUUGGGUUAAGUCCCGUAACGAGCGCAACCCUUAUCCUUAUUUGCCAGCACUUCGGGUGGGAACUCUAAGGAGACUGCCGGUGACAAACCGGAGGAAGGUGGGGACGACGUCAAGUCAUCAUGGCCCUUACGACCAGGGCUACACACGUGCUACAAUGGUAAAUACAAAGGGACGCUAAGCCGCGAGGUGGAGCUAAUCCCAGAAAAUUUAUCGUAGUCCGGAUUGGAGUCUGCAACUCGACUCCAUGAAGUCGGAAUCGCUAGUAAUCGUGGAUCAGAAUGCCACGGUGAAUACGUUCCCGGGCCUUGUACACACCGCCCGUCACACCAUGGGAGUGGAUUGCACCAGAAGUAGUUAGUCUAACCUUCGGGGGGACGAUUACCACGGUGUGGUUCAUGACUGGGGUGAAGUCGUAACAAGGUAGCCCUAGGGGAACCUGGGGCUGGAUCACCUCCUUAAACGAA
rnacentral:rRNA from 1 species